rnacentral:rRNA from 1 species
GGCGAACGGGUGAGUAACACGUGGGUAAUCUGCCCUCGGCACCGGAAUAGCCCGGGAAACCCGGAUUAAUGCCGGAUGGCCUCUCUGCCCUUCGGGGCGGCGAGAAAAGGUAGCUUCGGCCUCCGGCCGAGGAUGAGCCCGCGGCCGAUUAGCUUGUUGGUGAGGUAACGGCUCACCAAGGCGACGAUCGGUAGCUGGUCUGAGAGGACGAUCAGCCACACUGGGACUGAGACACGGCCCAGACUCCUACGGGAGGCAGCAGUGGGGAAUCUUGCGCAAUGGGCGAAAGCCUGACGCAGCGACGCCGCGUGCGGGAAGAAGGCCUUCGAGUUGUAAACCGCUUUCAGGAGGGACAGAAGCCACUCGGGUUAAUAGCCUAGAGGGUGACGGUAACCUCCAGAAGAAGCCCCGGCUAACUACGUGCCAGCCGCCGCGG